rnacentral:tRNA from 1 species
GUCUCAUGUGUUCAGUGGUAGAACAUCUGUUUUGCAAGCAGAAGUCCCCAGGUUCAAUCCAUGGGUUAAAUG